CGUGAAAAGGCCAAACCCGUUGUGAGGCGGGGACGGAAAGCCACGGGUCUUCAAUAAGAAGAUAGCCGGGUUGCCACCA
rnacentral:ncRNA from 1 species